rnacentral:rRNA from 1 species
AGUGAACGCUGGCGGUAGGCCUAACACAUGCAAGUCGAACGGCAGCACAGUAAGCGCUUGCUCUUACGGGUGGCGAGUGGCGGACGGGUGAGGAAUACAUCGGAAUCUACUUUUUCGUGGGGGAUAACGUAGGGAAACUUACGCUAAUACCGCAUACGACCUACGGGUGAAAGCAGGGGAUCUUCGGACCUUGCGCGAUUGAAUGAGCCGAUGUCGGAUUAGCUAGUUGGCGGGGUAAAGGCCCACCAAGGCGACGAUCCGUAGCUGGUCUGAGAGGAUGAUCAGCCACACUGGAACUGAGACACGGUCCAGACUCCUACGGGAGGCAGCAGUGGGGAAUAUUGGACAAUGGGGGCAAGCCUGAUCCAGCCAUACCGCGUGGGUGAAGAAGGCCUUCGGGUUGUAAAGCCCUUUUGUUGGGAAAGAAAAGCAGCAGGUUAAUACCCCGCUGUUCUGACGGUACCCAAAGAAUAAGCACCGGCUAACUUCGUG